UCCUUCCUAGCAGUGUCCUCAGAGGUGGGGCAGGGAUGGGGGCGAGAGGAGGACAGAGGUUCUCUUUCUGCGGGAGGGAAAGGAAGGCAUUGCCGCUACUGCAGCAGUAAAGGAUUUGAAAGAGUCCCCAGCUUUCCCUUUCCCAGAUGGUGAAGGAGUUUCUCAGGUGCUCUUUAUUGGAGGUGGAUAAAGGUUUCGUCAUCCACACCUGACAUGUUAUUGUAAGAAAGAACUUAGGACCGUGAGUGUGGGACAUGUGUACCUGUAGCCGCCUCCUCAUGUGCUUCUCCACCCAGCCCACCACCACGCAUUCUGAAGAAAGAUUGGCGUCAGUUGUGUGUCCCUUCGUGACCUCUUGGCACGGUGUUUAAGAGCAUGCCUGCACUCCGGAGUUAUUAAUA